rnacentral:rRNA from 1 species
CUUUACUGUAGCCUGGAAUUGGGUCCGGGCUUCGCUUGCGCAGGAUAGGUGGGAGACUAUGAAGCUGCCCUUGUGGGGGCAGUGGAGUCAUCAGUGAGAUACCACUCUGUCAAGGCUAGAAUUCUAACCGUCUGCCGUUAUCCGGCGACGGAACAGUAUCAGGUGGGCAGUUUGACUGGGGCGGUCGCCUCCUAAAUGGUAACGGAGGCGCGCAAAGGUUCCCUCAGGCUGGUUGGAAAUCAGCCGAAGAGUGUAAAGGCAGAAGGGAGCUUGACUGCAAGAGCAACAACUCAAGCAGGGACGAAAGUCGGCCUUAGUGACCCGACGGCGCUGAGUGGAAGGGCCGUCGCUCAACGGAUAAAAGUUA